AUGAACGCUGGCGGCGUGCUUAAUACAUGCAAGUCGAACGGAGAUAGUAGCAAUAUUAUCUUAGUGGCGAACGGGUGAGUAACGCGUUGGUGACCUGCCCCGAAGAGAGGGAUAGCAGUUCGAAAGGACUGAUAAUACCUCAUGUGGUUGUCGGUUUUAGAAUCUGAUAACUAAACGGAUUUAUUCGCUUCGGGAGGGGCCUGCGUCCCAUCAGCUAGUUGGUAGGGUAAUGGCCUACCAAGGCUAUGACGGGUAGGGGACCUGAGAGGGUGGCCCCCCACAAUGGAACUGAAACACGGUCCAUACACCUACGGGUGGCAGCAGUAGGGAAUAUUGGUUAAUCUGGGAAACCGGGAACCAGCAACGCCGCGUGCACGAUGAAGGCCUUCGGGUUGUAAAGUGCUUUUUGAAAGGAUGAGGAAGGACAGUACUUUCAGAAUAAGCUUCGGCUAACUACGU
rnacentral:rRNA from 1 species